GAUGAACGCUGGCGGCGUGCUUAACACAUGCAAGUCGAACGGUGAAGGCGGAGCUUGCUCUGCUGGAUCAGUGGCGAACGGGUGAGUAACACGUGAGCAAUCUGCCCCUGACUCUGGGAUAAGCGCUGGAAACGGCGUCUAAUACUGGAUACGAGCUGCGAAGGCAUCUUCAGCAGCUGGAAAGAAUUGCGGUCAGGGAUGAGCUCGCGGCCUAUCAGCUUGUUGGUGAGGUAAUGGCUCACCAAGGCGUUGACGGGUAGCCGGCCUGAGAGGGUGACCGGCCACACUGGGACUGAGACACGGCCCAGACUCCUACGGGAGGCAGCAGUGGGGAAUAUUGCACAAUGGGCGAAAGCCUGAUGCAGCAACGCCGCGUGCGGGAUGACGGCCUUCGGGUUGUAAACCGCUUUUGCCAGUGAAGAAGCGAAAGUGACGGUAAUGGCUGAAGAAGCACCGGCUAACUACGUG
rnacentral:rRNA from 1 species